rnacentral:rRNA from 1 species
UACGGAGGGGACUAGCGUUGCUCGGAAUCACUGGGCGUAAAGCGCACGUAGGCGGCUUUCUAAGUCAGGGGUGAAAUCCUGGAGCUCAACUCCAGAACUGCCUUUGAUACUGGAGAGCUUGAGUCCGGGAGAGGUGAGUGGAACUCCGAGUGUAGAGGUGAAAUUCGUAGAUAUUCGGAAGAACACCAGUGGCGAAGGCGGCUCACUGGCCCGGUACUGACGCUGAUGUGCGAAAGCGUGGGGAGCAAACAGGGAU